rnacentral:lncRNA from 1 species
GGGGGAGUGCGGUGAGCAACAUGAAAAGGGGGUAGGAACGGGAGCCAGACAAGGAUUUGAAGCAGGCAUGAAGACCCCCAACGCACAGGAAGCCGAAGGGCAACAAACCAGGGCAGCUGCAGGACGGGCCACUGGGUCUGCAAACAUGACAAAGAAAAAAGUCUCCCAAAAGAAGCAGAGAGGCCGACCUUCAUCCCAGCCCCGCAGGAACAUCGUGGGCUGCAGAAUUUCUCAUGGAUGGAAGGAAGGAGAUGAGCCCAUCACGCAGUGGAAAGGAACCGUUCUGGAUCAGCUGCCUGAAACCACAGGUGGUUCCGACAAAUAAUCCACUAAAAGAGGCCUGCUGUCCCAAGAAUCCACAUUCUGGUUAGACCUUCCCCACAAAGCUGGUGUCUGCAGACCCCUCACAGGCACCUGUUGGCCAGUCUUGCCUACCCCAGCUCACAGAGACCUGUGAUGGAAUUCUGGUCAGCUCUUUGUUUCCAGGUGAGGCAGAUGCCAUGGGGC